AUAUAUAUAUAUAUAUAUAUAUAUAUAUAUAUAUAUAUAUAUAUAUAUACAUUCAAAUAAACAAAUAAAUCUUUCUUCAAUCAAUCUUCAACUUGAACUUCAAGUUUGAAACCUGUCAAAAUAAUCAAAUAACGGUUAAGCAAAACAAAUUGAUUCACCUUUUACUCGAACGAAGUAGCAAAAUAGCAAAGAAAACUUGAAUAUUUAUCGGAAUAUUAAUGUGUUGUUAAAGUAGCAAGAGAGCAAUGAGAGAAGAGAGAGUGAUGAGAGAAAUUUUUUGAUUGAGAGUGAAUGGGUCUGAAUGAAUAAAAGGAGUCUCUUUAUAUAGUAAAGGAGGGGGAACAAAUAAAGGAAAUAAAUAUUUAAAGGAAUCAAUUAUAAUACUAUUUUCCUUAUUUCAAAGGAGAGCCAAAAUCAGAAAAUAUUACAAUAUUUCAUUACCAAAUAUAAACAAGUAAGAAUAAAUUAAUAAAUUUAAAAAUAAGAAAAUCAAUUAAUUAAAUAUCACUUUUCUAAAAAUAUAACAACUAAGAAUAUAUUUGAAGUCAAUCAAGGUAAAAUAAAAUAAUCAAUUAAAAUGACAAUAAUAUUUUAAAAGAUAUAAGAAAUCUGCAACUACUAUUGAAAAUUACAAGACUUACCAUAACAAAUAAUAAUCAAAGUGAAACCAAUAUACACUUAGCAUGUCAAUACCCAAAUCACAUUUAGCAGACUUACAGGAACUUAUUAUCAUACAAUAUUGUUUUCAACAUGGCUAAAACACAUGUACUUUGCAAAUUUUCAAAAGAAAAAUCAACAAGAACAGCCCAUAAGAUCAAGCAAAUCACAAUAUAUUUUCAUAUUCAUAACAAAAUAUUUCUGAAAACACGCAGAACAUUAGGAAAAUUAAACAUCUAAAUGAAUAAUAAUAAAAAAAAACUAAAACAGAAACUAACCCAGACGGAUCUGUCGAGAUCCAUCUCAAACAAAAGCUCCAGCACUUCAUGUGAUGUUGCUGACUGCCGUUGUUGUCGCCCUGUGUUGCUGGCCGGAGCAGCUAUUGCUGUCUCGCUAGGCUGUUGCUGCGUGGUGGCUGUCGCCGGCCUGCAAAAGAAGAAGGAGAAGAGAAGAGGGGCGAGAGGGAGAAGAGAAGAGGGGUAAACGGAGGGAGAAAGAAGGGAAGAAAAGGGAAAGGUACAUCGCUGGUCAGAGUUCCACUGGAGGAUGGCGGCGUCGGCUGCUGGUUGUUGUUGCUGGAGGGUCGUUGCUCGCCUGAGAAGAGGAUAGACGGACGGCCGCCGGGGCUGCUGGCUGGCGCAGGGGUUCUCGCCGGCGACUGGUGGCUGUUGCUGUCACCUGGCAUCUCGCUGGUGGAGCUGCUGGUUGGUGUCGCCUUCCUGCUUGCUUCGCCAGCUGGAGAGAAGGGCGAAUAGAGAGGGAGAGAACGGGAAGAGGAAGAAGGGGCGAAGAGAGAGAGAGAGAGAGAGGAGAGGCGGCUUCCGUCCGGCUGUCUCCUCGCCGGAAAAAAUUGGAGAGGAGAGGGGGGGUUGCGGCGGCUGGUGAGGGG
rnacentral:lncRNA from 1 species